rnacentral:lncRNA from 1 species
GGACAAAAAAACAGACACCGCAUGUUCUCACUCACAGGAACACCAAGAGAAGGCGGAAAUCUUCAAGUCAGAAAGAGAGCUCGCUGAAACCUGACCAUGUUGGCACCCUGAUCUUAGACUUCCAGGCUCUGAAACUAUACUUGUUGCAUGGUUUCCAUUCUGUGCUGCCUUCUCUUCUGGACGAUGGGGUUAGGAUAGUGAAUGAGAAGGU